GGAAGAAGCGAAAGUGACGGUACCUGCAGAAAAAGCCCCGGCUAACUACGUGCCAGCAGCCGCGGUAAUACGUAGGGCGCAAGCGUUAUCCGGAAUUAUUGGGCGUAAAGAGCUCGUAGGCGGUUUGUCGCGUCUGCUGUGAAAUCCGGAGGCUCAACUUCCGGCCUGCAGUGGGUACGGGCAGACUAGAGUGCGGUAGGGGAGAUUGGAAUUCCUGGUGUAGCGGUGGAAUGCGCAGAUAUCAGGAGGAACACCGAUGGCGAAGGCAGAUCUCUGGGCCGUAACUGACGCUGAGGAGCGAAAGGGUGGGGAGCAAACAGGCUUAGAUACCCUGGUAGUCCACCCCGUAAACGUUGGGAACUAGUUGUGGGGUCCAUUCCACGGAUUCCGUGACGCAGCUAACGCAUUAAGUUCCCCGCCUGGGGAGUACGGCCGCAAGGCUAAAACUCAAAGGAAUUGACGGGGACCCGCACAAGCGGCGGAGCAUGCGGAUUAAUUCGAUGCAACGCGAAGAACCUUACCAAGGCUUGACAUAUACGAGAACGGGCCAGAAAUGGUCAACUCUUUGGACACUCGUAAACAGGUGGUGCAUGGUUGUCGUCAGCUCGUGUCGUGAGAUGUUGGGUUAAGUCCCGCAACGAGCGCAACCCUCGUUCUAUGUUGCCAGCACGUAAUGGUGGGAACUCAUGGGAUACUGCCGGGGUCAACUCGGAGGAAGGUGGGGAUGACGUCAAAUCAUCAUGCCCCUUAUGUCUUGGGCUUCACGCAUGCUACAAUGGCCGGUACAAAGGGCUGCAAUACCGCGAGGUGGAGCGAAUCCCAAAAAGCCGGUCCCAGUUCGGAUUGAGGUCUGCAACUCGACCUCAUGAAGUCGGAGUCGCUAGUAAUCGCAGAUCAGCAACGCUGCGGUGAAUACGUUCCCGGGUCUUGUACACACCGCCCGUCAAGUCAUGAAAGUCGGUAACACCUGAAGCCGGUGGCCUAACCCUUGUGGAGG
rnacentral:rRNA from 1 species